rnacentral:antisense_RNA from 1 species
CUUCAGCGAGCCGAGCCACAGCGGACGGUUCGACGGCCGGUGCCGACCGUAGGUGGCCAGGAGGGCCUCGGCCUC